rnacentral:tRNA from 1 species
UCCUGGUGGCUCAGACAGUAAAGAAUCUGCCUGAAAUGCAGGAGACCCAGGUUCCAUCCCUGGGUCAGGAA